GUGCUUGCUUCGGCAGCACAUACACUAAAAUUGGAACGAUAGAGAGAAGAUUAGCACAGCCCCUCAACAAGGAUGACUCGCAAAUUUGUGAAUCUUUUCAUAUUUUU
ensembl:snRNA Gm26139 U6 spliceosomal RNA